GACGAACGCUGGCGGCGUGCUUAAUACAUGCAAGUAGAACGCUGAAGGAGGAGCUUGCUUCUCGGAUGAGUUGCGAACGGGUGAGUAACGCGUAGGUAACCUGCCUGGUAGCGGGGGAUAACUAUUGGAAACGAUAGCUAAUACCGCAUAAGAGUAGAUGUUGCAUGACAUUUGCUUAAAAGGUGCAAUUGCAUCACUACCAGAUGGACCUGCGUUGUAUUAGCUAGUUGGUGGGGUAACGGCUCACCAAGGCGACGAUACAUAGCCGACCUGAGAGGGUGAUCGGCCACACUGGGACUGAGACACGGCCCAGACUCCUACGGGAGGCAGCAGUAGGGAAUCUUCGGCAAUGGACGGAAGUCUGACCGAGCAACGCCGCGUGAGUGAAGAAGGUUUUCGGAUCGUAAAGCUCUGUUGUAAGAGAAGAACGAGUGUGAGAGUGGAAAGUUCACACUGUGACGGUAUCUUACCAGAAAGGGACGGCUAACUACGUGCCAGCAGCCGCGGUAAUACGUAGGUGGCAAGCGUUAUCCGGAUUUAUUGGGCGUAAAGAGAGUGCAGGCGGUUUUCUAAGUCUGAUGUGAAAGCCUUCGGCUUAACCGGAGAAGUGCAUCGGAAACUGGAUAACUUGAGUGCAGAAGAGGGUAGUGGAACUCCAUGUGUAGCGGUGGAAUGCGUAGAUAUAUGGAAGAACACCAGUGGCGAAGGCGGCUACCUGGUCUGCAACUGACGCUGAGACUCGAAAGCAUGGGUAGCGAACAGG
rnacentral:rRNA from 1 species